rnacentral:rRNA from 1 species
GACGAACGCUGGCGGCGUGCCUAAUACAUGCAAGUCGAACGAGAGCGACCGGUGCUUGCACUGGUCAAUCUAGUGGCGAACGGGUGAGUAACACGUGGGUAACCUGCCCAUCAGAGGGGGAUAGCAUCCGGAAACGGAUGCUAAAACCGCAUAGGUCUUCGAACCGCAUGGUUUGAAGAGGAAAAGAGGCGCAAGCUUCUGCUGAUGGAUGGACCCGCGGUGCAUUAGCUAGUUGGUGAGGUAACGGCUCACCAAGGCCGUGAUGCAUAGCCGACCUGAGAGGGUGAUCGGCCACAUUGGGACUGAGACACGGCCCAAACUCCUACGGGAGGCAGCAGUAGGGAAUCUUCCGCAAUGGACGCAAGUCUGACGGAGCAACGCCGCGUGAGUGAAGAAGGUUUUCGGAUCGUAAAACUCUGUUGUUAGAGAAGAACAAGUGCUAGAGUAACUGUUAGCGCCUUGACGGUAUCUAACCAGAAAGCCACGGCUAACUACGUG